AAUUUUGGCCCAAUGGGAAAACCCUGACGCAGCAACGCCGCGUGAGUGAUGAAGGCCUUCGGGUCGUAAAGCUCUGUCAGAGGGGAAGAAGUGCAUGGGCGCUAAUAUCGCUUAUGCUUGACGGUACCCUCAAAGGAAGCACCGGCUAACUCCGUGCCAGCAGCCGCGGUAAUACGGAGGGUGCGAGCGUUAUUCGGAAUUACUGGGCGUAAAGCGCGUGUAGGCGGGGGGACAAGUCUGAUGUGAAAGCCCUGGGCUUAACCUGGGAAGCGCAUUGGAAACUGUUUUUCUUGAGUACUGGAGAGGAAGGGGGAAUUCCCGGUGUAGAGGUGAAAUUCGUAGAGAUCGGGAGGAAUACCAGUGGCGUAGGCGCCCUUCUGGACGGUAACUGACGCUGAGACGCGAAAGCGUGGGGAGCAAACAGGAUUAGAUACCCUGGUAGUCCACGCUGUAAACGAUGAUCACUAGGUGUAGCGGGUACUCAUUCCUGCUGUGCCGCAGCUAACGCGUUAAGUGAUCCGCCUGGGGAUUACGGUCGC
rnacentral:rRNA from 1 species